AUCCGGGACCGUGCCGCACUCCUUCACCUUGUCCAC
rnacentral:sRNA from 1 species